GACGAACGCUGGCGGCGCGCCUAACACAUGCCGGUCGAACGAGCGAGAGAGAGCUUGCUUUCUCGAGCGAGUGGCGAACGGGUGAGUAACGCGUGAGGAACCUGCCUCAAAGAGGGGGACAACAGUUGGAAACGACUGCUAAUACCGCAUAAGCCCUCGGUGCCGCAUGGCACAGAGGGAAAAGGAGCAAUCCGCUUUGAGAUGGCCUCGCGUCCGAUUAGCUAGUUGGUGAGGUAAUGGCCCACCAAGGCGACGAUCGGUAGCCGGACUGAGAGGUUGAACGGCCACAUUGGGACUGAGACACGGCCCAGACUCCUACGGGAGGCAGCAGUGGGGAAUAUUGCACAAUGGGGGAAACCCUGAUGCAGCGACGCCGCGUGGAGGAAGAAGGUCUUCGGAUUGUAAACUCCUGUUGUUGGGGAAGAUAAUGACGGUACCCAACAAGGAAGUGACGGCUAACUACGUA
rnacentral:rRNA from 1 species